GUCUCCACCCGAGACUCAGUGAAAUUGAACUCGCUGUGAAGAUGCAGUGUACCCGCGGCAAGACGGAAAGACCCCGUGAACCUUUACUAUAGCUUGACACUGAACAUUGAGCCUUGAUGUGUAGGAUAGGUGGGAGGCUUUGAAGCGUGGACGCCAGUCUGCGUGGAGCCAACCUUGAAAUACCACCCUUUAAUGUUUGAUGUUCUAACGUUGGCCCCUGACCGGGGUUG
rnacentral:rRNA from 1 species